UACGGGGGGGGCAAGCGUUGUUCGGAAUUACUGGGCGUAAAGGGCUCGUAGGCGGCCAACUAAGUCAGACGUGAAAUCCCUCGGCUUAACCGGGGAACUGCGUCUGAUACUGGAUGGCUUGAGUUCGGGAGAGGGAUGCGGAAUUCCAGGUGUAGCGGUGAAAUGCGUAGAUAUCUGCAGGAACACCCGUGGCGAAAGCGGCGCGCUGGACCACAACUGACGCUGAAUGACGAAAGCUAGGGGAGCAAACAGG
rnacentral:rRNA from 1 species